rnacentral:rRNA from 1 species
GAUGAACGCUGGCGGCGUGCUUAACACAUGCAAGUCGAACGGAAAGGCUCCUGCUUGCAGGGGUGCUCGAGUGGCGAACGGGUGAGUAACACGUGGGUGAUCUGCCCUGCACUUCGGGAUAAGCCUGGGAAACUGGGUAUAAUACCGGAUAGGACGAUGGUUUGGAUGCCCUUGUGGAAAGUUUUUUCGGUGUGGGGUGAGCUCGCGGCCUAUCAGCUUGUUGGUGGGGAAAUGGCCUACCAAGGCGUCGACGGGUAGCCGGCCUGGGAGGGUGGACGGCCCCAUUGGGCCUGCGGGACGGCCCAGACUCCUACGGUGGGCAGCGGGGGGGAGUAUUGCACAGUGGGCGCAAGCCUGGUGCGGCGGCGCCGCGUGGGGGAUCACGGCCUUCGGGUUGUAAACUCCUUUCGCUAGAGACGAAGCGCAAGUGACGGUACCUGGAGAAGAAGCACCGGCUAACUACGUG